ensembl:misc_RNA Y_RNA Y RNA
GGCUGGUCCGAUGGUAGUGGGUUAUCAAAACAUAUUAACAUUAGUGUCACUAAAUUUGGUAUACAACCCCCCACUGCUAAAUUUGGCUGGCUUUUU